CUAGGUGAGACUGGUUAUCUUUAAAAAUGAUUACAAACCUUUAGAAAAAUCAUCUUCAGCAUUUUUAUCGUUCCACUGCUGGACACAGGCCUCCUCUGACACAGAGAAGGAUUGAGCGUUGAAGUUUUUAUUUUUUUCAAAUUAAAUAUUUUUUCAGACUUCAUGAAAAUCAAACAGUUAUUACUUUUGUUUGCAAAUUAUCAGUGUAACAUGUUACAUUACUUACACGUUAUCAGUUAUUCGUGACUUAAGUACUAAAAACAAUAAACUGUAAGACACGCUUGACGCUGUAGGGCAUCUAGCUGAUAUAAUUGAAAACCUACCAAGAAAAGUAACAACUUGGCCAUAGCUUCAGACUAAAACCUCUUUAUAACCAAUUGAAACUUAUAUAAAAUCGACAAAAAAUAGGUCCUUAUCGCUGUCGCUUGGUUAUGUACCUAGGUACCCAAAAGACUGACAGCAUUACCACGUUGGAUGGCAAAUAUGUUAAAACUAUUUAAAACAAUCAGACGGCACUUUAAAAAAAGAACGUCAACCUUUCAAAUAUGCAUGGAAAAAAGAAACCUUUUCAAAAAAGGGCGCUAGAAAAAAGCCAUUUAAAAACGACCGUCCAACUUAUAAAAUUAGUAACACCACAAGACAACAUUGAAAACUAAAAUAUCCUUUUAAAUAGGUCACAUAUAGUUGCAUAAGGCAUUAUGAAUUCCUUUCUUUGCUUCACAAACGUUAACUGUCAUGUCGGACAAUGAAUUCGAACAAAAACUAUGCAAAUGGCGGCAAGGCAAGAUGGCGGCGAUUUCUAUGUAAUUUGCGUCACAAAGGACGAAAUAUGCUUUUAACUUUAAGACUACCGUUUAGAAGUGGAUAUUGAAUUUUGUUUGUUG